CGUUACUGCUUUUGCAGUGCGUUUCCUCCCUAAACUCUUCAAGGCCGCGCCCCAUCGGGGUUGCGGCCCUUUUUCUUUUCGAC
rnacentral:sRNA from 1 species